UACGGGGGGGGCAAGCGUUGUUCGGAAUUACUGGGCGUAAAGGGUUUGUAGGUGGCCCGCUAAGUCACACGUGAAAUCCCUCAGCUUAACUGGGGAACUGCGUGUGAGACUGGCAGGCUCGAGGGCAGGAGAGGAACGCGGAAUUCCAGGUGUAGCGGUGAAAUGCGCAGAUAUCAGGAGGAACACCGGUGGCGAAGGCGGGUCUCUGGGCAACAACUGACGCUGAGGAGCGAAAGCGUGGGGAGCGAACAGG
rnacentral:rRNA from 1 species